rnacentral:rRNA from 1 species
UACGUAGGGGCCGAGCGUUGUCCGGAGUUAUUGGGCGUAAAGCGCGCGCAGGCGGCCUCGCGCGCCCGACGUGAAAGCCCCCGGCUUAACCGGGGAGGGUCGUUGGGGACGGCGGGGCUUGAGGGCGGGAGAGGUCGGUGGAAUUCCCGGUGUAGCGGUGAAAUGCGCAGAUAUCAGGAGGAACACCGGUGGCGAAGGCGGGUCUCUGGGCCGAUACUGACGCUGAGGAGCGAAAGCGUGGGGAGCAAACAGG